rnacentral:rRNA from 1 species
CCGGCGCACGGGUGAGUAACACGUAUCCAACCUGCCGUCUACUCUUGGCCAGCCUUCUGAAAGGAAGAUUAAUCCAGGAUGGCAUCAUGAGUUCACAUGUCCGCAUGAUUAAAGGUAUUUUCCGGUAGACGAUGGGGAUGCGUUCCAUUAGAUAGUAGGCGGGGUAACGGCCCACCUAGUCAACGAUGGAUAGGGGUUCUGAGAGGAAGGUCCCCCACAUUGGUACUGAGACACGGACCAA